rnacentral:rRNA from 1 species
AACGAACGCUGGCGGCAGGCUUAACACAUGCAAGUCGAACGGGUGUAGCAAUACAUCAGUGGCAGACGGGUGAGUAACACGUGGGAACCUUCCUCGUUGUACGGAACAACUCAGGGAAACUUGAGCUAAUACCGUAUAAGUCCGAGAGGAGAAAGAUUUAUCGCAAUGAGACGGGCCCGCGUCGGAUUAGCUAGUUGGUGGGGUAACGGCCUACCAAGGCGACGAUCCGUAGCUGAUCUGAGAGGAUGAUCAGCCACACUGGGACUGAGACACGGCCCAGACUCCUACGGGAGGCAGCAGUGGGGAAUCUUGGACAAUGGGCGCAAGCCUGAUCCAGCCAUGCCGCGUGAGUGAAGAAGGCCUUAGGGUUGUAAAGCUCUUUUGCCAGGGACGAUAAUGACGGUACCUGGAGAAUAAGCCCCGGCAAACUUCGUGCCAGCCGCCGCGGUAAAAC